AGUGAACGCUGGCGGUAGGCCUAACACAUGCACGUCGAACGGCAGCACAGUAAGAGCUUGCUCUUACGGGUGGCGAGUGGCGGACGGGUGAGGAAUACAUCGGAAUCUACUUUUUCGUGGGGGAUAACGUAGGGAAACUUACGCUAAUACCGCAUACGACCUACGGGUGAAAGCAGGGGAUCUUCGGACCUUGCGCGAUUGAAUGAGCCGAUGUCGGAUUAGCUAGUUGGCGGGGUAAAGGCCCACCAAGGCGACGACCCGUAGCUGGUCUGAGAGGAUGAUCAGCCACACUGGAACUGAGACACGGUCCAGACUCCUACGGGAGGCAGCAGUGGGGAAUAUUGGACAAUGGGCGCAAGCCUGAUCCAGCCAUACCGCGUGGGUGAAGAAGGCCUUCGGGUUGUAAAGCCCUUUUGUUGGGAAAGAAAAGCAGCAGGUUAAUACCCCGCUGUUCUGACGGUACCCAAAGAAAAAGCACCGGCUAACUUCGUG
rnacentral:rRNA from 1 species